rnacentral:lncRNA from 1 species
GUGGCUUAUGACUCAUGUGGUCCAGCUCAAACAGAUGAGCUGGGCCAAUCAGACCCUCACAAAUUGUGUAUCAAGACACACACAAGCCAGUUGCUAUCAGUGCUGUCGGGAAGGCCACUGGAGUCAUACGCAAGGUCUGAUGCUGAUUCUCCUGCCCCCCUCACAGGGCAGUGAUGUGGAACCAAGUGAGACAGUGCACAGAAAAGCAUUUUAUUGGCUGAACAGCCCUGUGAUAACUACGAGAGGUUUCAUCUGAAGAGAAUCCAACAAAGAAGAAAUUUUAUUUUCCAAUAAAAUAUUAAAGCUGCUUUACCC